rnacentral:misc_RNA from 1 species
ACAAACUUGGUCAUUUAGAGGAAGUAAAAGUCGUAACAAGGUUUCCGUAGGUGAACCUGCGGAAGGAUCAUUAACAAAUCUAUUUGAGUGCUGCAGUCCUAGUGAUUGCAUGCACACAUAAGCCCUAAAGCGUAGCACUUUUGUGUGACCGCUUUAGUGUGAUUGGGGGAUUCGAUUUUUCGAUUCCUUCAAAGGUCGUCCUUUGGGAUGACCACAUUGACGCUUGUUUGUUUGACAGAGUUUAUUGUAACAAAAAUUAGACAACUUUUAACAAUGGAUCUCUUGGCUCUUGCAUCGAUGAAGAACGCAGC